rnacentral:lncRNA from 1 species
UAAACAUGUUUCUUAUUAUUAUUAUAAGACAAAAUGUAGGUAAUAAACAAUCUGCUAAUAUUGUGAAAUUAUGGUGGCUGAUUUCUACCGUGUUGGUCCACGAACACGCCGAAACAAAAUGACAAAAAUCAGCCUCCAUAUGAAAUAGAAUAGUUCUUUACGGAUGUAUUUAAAUGUUGAAUUCUAUUCUCGACAGUGAAACUUAUUGUCCAAGUUUACUUUAGGCAAGUUUUGAUUUACCUUUACACUGUUGUUUUGUAUUUUUCAAAUUCAGAAAGUGCAGCGAAUAUGGGAAGUAAGACAAAGUGCAUUGUUCUUGUCAUAAUACUAUGUCGCGUCUAUAUUGAUGAAGUCCUAGGUGAAAAGAAUGUUCACAGUGUUCUGAAACGAUGGGGCGAAUAUACGACAACAAAAAUUCUAAAUGUUUGUGACAAGAAUUCCGACGGACGACUCUCAACAAUAGAAGCAAUGUGUUUUAAGGAAUUAACUUCUUUUCUUGUCAGGGGCAGGUAAUACUUUUCUCCUGUAACGUAUACACUUUCAUUUCAAAGUAUGAUUUAUACGUUGGCGUUUAGUGACGCUUGGCCCUGACAGGUCACAAUUCAGACAUUGUCAAAGGAUGAAUUCCCAUUGAUAUUUGCUCCGUAAAUAAGGCCUGGCAUUGACCUUUGUUCGUGUGUGCUAGGCAAGGUUGGCAGUGUAAAAUAUGUUGAAAGGUUGUCUAUUGUAUACAUUAGCUAAAAUAAAUUCUUUUUAUUAUAUUUUGCGUUUACUUUUACUAUAAGGGUUCUCUUAUUUGUAUAGAGGAUAGCAAAUGAUAUUUUGAAAUAUCUUAUAACACUUAUUCUUGAUAUUGCAACCAUUUUAUCAAAAUCGUAUACCGGUAGAAAGAUUAUAUAUUUAAAUAGACUUAAAUACUAGAUUUAGCGACUCCAGUCUUAUAAUGCCAGGGACAUUUCAGAUACUAUUAUCUGCCUGAAACACAUGCAAUUCGUAUAAGCUUCACUGUGGUCAUCUGUCCCACUAUCAAACUUGCGGCUUUCUAAGUUCUGUGUUCUGUGCCUUGAACAUGAGCAUAUGCUCAAAGAUGAGCUAUCUUGUAUAUUUACAAUGUAAAGUAUGACACUAAAUCAAGGAUUCUGUUGAAGCAAUAUUGCAUAUUAAUUUAUCAGAUAUCUCCUUAGCAUAUUCUUUUUAUGUAAAAUUAAAGUUUUUCUUAUUAAGUAAUUUUAAGGACCAGAGAUCUGUUCUUAUUUGAAAAAUCUUGCUCAUUAUAGAAUCCAAUAUGAGUUUAGUGUUUUGCUCUAGCAGUGUGCUCAUUGUAAACUAUAGCAUUCCAUCGUAAAGCAAAGACCAUAGCUGUGGUGUUACUGAAACAAGCUUGGUCAUAUAGAUUCAGUUGUGAUAUUAAUCUAAUGUGAGUUUUGUGUUUUGCAUUAGAAUUGAGCUCAUUGUGAAAUAUAGCAUUUCUUCCUAAAUCUAGUGAUAUGGCCCUCUUGCUGUAAGACAAGUCUUGGUCAUAAUAGAAUUUGUGAUCAGUUAAACCCUAUAUCCCCUAUUUGCUCAAUAAAUGAGCUCGUAGUGAAAUAAAGCAUAUCUUCCUAAAUCAAGGUCCACAAUCUUUGUCAUUAUAGAAUAUUGGUCAUAUACAUUCAUGUGCGGUUUGUGUUUUGUUUUAAAAAUGAGCUCCUUGCGAAACAAAGUACUUCUUACCAAAUCAUUUGACAGAACACUGGUGUAGUAAAAGCAGACGUGGUCAUUAUAGCAUUUCUGGUCGUAUACAUUCUGUAAAUCAGGUAUCCGAUAUGCUAACAUUAUAUCUGUAAACGGGCUAAGAAGGGUCAACAAUGGACUACAGAUGUCCACAAGAGCUUAUAAAUGGACAUUUUGUGCCAAGGAGAGAAAAGCAAGAGUUCCAAAGCAAUUUGAAUGCCGUGAGGUUGAUCUUUUGACUGCAAGCCACGACCGGUAUAAGAGUCAUGCAUUCUGACAUUAAACACCAUCAGUUUCUCUAUGUCUACUCAAGAAUACAGUUUCGUAUUAAAAGAAAAAACAG